CAUCAUACAUUCAUCCAGAUCCAGCGUGCCGGUCAUCCACCGCCGCUCAUCCGCCGCCUGCAUCCACCGUCAGUCAUCCACCGCCGCUCCACCACGCCUGCAUCCACGCCGGUCAUCCACCACGCCUGCAUCCACCGUCAGUCAUCCACCGCCGCUCAUCCACCGUCAGUCAUCCGCCGCAAUUUAAAGGUUCUAAUGAAGUUAAUUUGGAUGAGCUCACUGAAGAUAUAAUGUCACUUGAUAUUAGUGGAGAAUCAAAUGCUUCAAACUCAAUGAACACUUCUAAGGUUUGAAUUGUUGGAAUUAAAGAUCUAAGAGGAGAACCAUGGCAACUUGGAAACUUUGAACUUGUUUUUAAUGGAUAUAUUGAAUUAUUUAAGUCUUUUGUGAUUUGCCGUUUAUGGAUUUUUGUU
rnacentral:lncRNA from 1 species